AUUCACCAAAUAAAUAUUGAGCCCCUACGAUGCAUGCACCAGGCAUUAGAUAUUGAUAUUUGUAUUUACAUGUGAUGUAGCAGAUUUCAUAUUUUCUAAUUUCUCUACAAUAAAUAUUUAUCAAUUUUCUAACAAAAUAUCACUAUUAAAUUGAAUUUUUUUGAAUUAUAAGAAAAGGCUAACAUCAUAAUAAGGUUGUAUAAAAUAAACUGACAACACAGAAGUUAUUUUGGCCUUGUGUUCCAUAGUGACUCACCAAAUAUACCCUGAAGUGUUUAUUUUAUUUUUUUCUAUUUCACUGUUAAAGCGAGCAGAUGCAUUUCACAUCACAUGGAUCUCGUGGAAACAUGCCAACCAUUUUCUUAGCAACCAAACUCCUGUCUUCUGCACUGUGCAUGAUUAACUACAACAGCCUGUUGACGGCUUAAAAUAAACCUGCCUUUUUCCAUUUAGCAUUUUAUCAAAUGAAUGUAAUUUCAUUUGCUGAUGAAUUUAGUUCAGCUUCAAGGGAAUUUUUCUCUUCUUCAUGGGGAGGCUGAAGAAUCAGAACUGUCAUGCCAAAGAAAGAAAAGCAAGCCUAGGGAGAAAAACAGUCUGAUGUUUACAUGGGCAUCCCUCUAGUGUCCCCUCUGCAGCUGAGUGGUCUACCUAUCAAACUUUCUAUUUGGAAUAGUCUCCUCUGUCCUCUACACCUAAAUCUCUCCUGUUCUUUAACAGGGAGCUUGAAGGUCACCGCCUCCAGGCAAGUAUCUGCAUGUUAGCCUCAAAUUUUUUUGUAAUUUAAUUGUGACUUCCUUGAUUGUAUGGUACUGGGACUCCCUGGGUACUGAACACGAUACUAACAAGGAGCCUUCAAUUAAAUGGAGUAAUGGUGAGGCAUGUGUGAGAUGCUUGCUGUUUUGAAUUUAGGAAAGCAAAUGUAGGAAAGUAGGAUUCAGCAUUUAGAUUUUUUAAUGAUAAGGACUCCAAAUAAAGGACGGAAUUUAGGAAACUUAAAAUACUGU
rnacentral:lncRNA from 1 species